AGGCGGCGCGGGCCGGGCCGGGCCGGGCGCGCAGCCUUCAGCCUUCAGCCUUGCCGGGCGGGUCCGCCGCUCCUGCGGGCCAGAAAGGGCCUGCCUGCUUCUCUGGGCCGCGCCCGUGAGCGGCCUGUGCGCCUGCCGGGGAGAAUGCCAGCGCAAAGCCUAGAGCAAGUUCGGUCUGUUAGAGAAUCACAGAAUCAGCUAGGUUGGAAAAAGCCUUUGAGGCCGUCGAGUCCAGCCUAUGGCCGAACAACACCAAGUCAGCCAAAGCAUGGCCACAUGUUUUCUUAAACGCCUCCAGGGGCGGUGACUCCACCACCUUCCUCGGCAACCGAUUCCACUAAUGACCCUUCUUGUGAAGACAUCCCUCGACACUUAACGUUUGUUGUACCCUCAGUUGUAACCUCGGAACUGGCAGGACCUUUCAGGUUACAACUCUGUGAAGCUACAAAAUGUCCUUGAGUGUGUUGAAGUAUUGCCAAAGUGUGCACAGGCUCAAGCAGUCCCAAGUUAUGGACUAAGGGUGCACAAGGGUAGUGUGAGAGCAUUAAUCUUCAUAGUGCUGUGGUUGUUGAAAGCUACGCCUUGACAUCAUUUUUCAAAGCCAGUAGCUAAGAACUUCUGGACUUAGAGUUUAGUUCUGUAAUUUAUUUGUGGAAGUAAGGAUGGGGCCUUUUUCAGAAUACUUGUGUAGCAAUGCGUGAUCAAUAAAUCAGCAUUUUGGCUUUGUUAAACUGGUCUGGCACAGUGUUUCUAGUACAUGUUUAUCUUGCAUGGGUGCAUCUCAAAGCACCUGUGAAUUUGCUGGCAUGUUCUACCUGGGAGGAAGAAUCUUUUAAUUACUGAGGUUUAAGUUCCUGCCUUUCAUAUUUUGGGCUAUGUCUUUAAGUUAGUGUUAGCUAGUAACAAAUACCCUGGUCCCAUGACAACAACCUCUAAGAGAAAAGGAUAACCUGUAAGUUCCCUUACCUGUGUUUUAAGUAGCUGAUGCAAUAUCUAGGUAGCACAAACCUCUGAACAAAUAGGGGUUUUGCUAGGUGAUAGUGUAUUUUCUUGAUUUCAUAGUGGUCAGGAACCACUCCUGAUUGGAGGAGUUGACAUCUGUUUGAGUUACAAAUUUGUCUUCCAUGACACCUCUGAGUCCCUGUUUCAGUGUGGUACCACUCACGGUGAAAAAUUUUUCUGCAAUAUACCCUGAAUUUCCUGUAUUGCAGUGAAUGUGCUUGUCUUGUCUGAUCCCUCUGUUUUUCCAAGGAGGCUCCAUCUGUUAUAGACGGGCAAUAUGAUGAUUGGCUCUCGCAAUUAAGAGAUUAAUAUUUUGUGUACGUUAAGAGAAGUUUCCUUGACGUCAUUGUUUGUUGUUUGGAUGUCCACUGCUCUCCCCAUAGUCCCCUUCCCCCUCUGCGUUGUUGUCACGGGACAGCCUUGUUACUAGGGAGGGGGGCAUGACUGCUCCUGACCUCCAAUCAAGCAGCAAGGAUGUAGUCUCCACCACUGGACGGCGAAUAAGAAGUUGACUGACAGACUUUGGGGGGCCGAGGUUGCCUGAUGCAAUGGCAGGGGUGUAGAAGGCCAAGCAGCCAUCUUGUAGAUGAGAACAUGGUUGUUGGACUUACACUCACAGAGCUCUGCCCUUUUUCCUUAUUUAGUGUUUUGUUGUAUUUGUAAAGGUUUAAUAAACCUUGAAAAUUUUA